rnacentral:rRNA from 1 species
CGGACGGGUGAGUAACGCGUGAGUAAUUUGCCUUCGGGUGGGGAAUAACAGCCGGAAACGGCUGCUAAUACCGCAUGAUGCAGCGGCACCUCAUGGUGACAGUUGUUAAAGCGGGGGAUCGCAAGACCUCGCGCCUGAAGAGAAGCUCGCGGCAGAUUAGCUAGUUGGUAGGGUAACGGCCUACCAAGACUACGAUCUGUAGCCGGCCUGAGAGGGCGGUCGGCCACACUGACACUGACACACGGGUCAGACUCCUACGGGAGGCAGCAGUCGGGAAUUUUGGGCAAUGGGCGAAAGCCUGACCCAGCAACGCCGCGUGAAGGAUGAAGUUUUUCGGAAUGUAAACUUCGCAAGAAUGGGAAGAAUAAGUGGGGGAUAAUACCCCCCAUGAUGACGGUACCAUUUGUAAGCUCCGGCUAACUCCGUGCCAGCAGCCGCGGUAAUACGGGGGGAGCAAGCGUUGUUCGGAUUUACUGGGCGUAGAGGGCGCGUAGGCGGCGCAACAAGUCAGUUGUGAAAUCUCUGGGCUUAACCCAGAGCGGUCAACUGAUACUGUCGUGCUAGAGUGCGGAAGGGGCAACUGGAAUUCUCGGUGUAGCGGUGAAAUGCGUAGAUAUCGAGAGGAACACCUGCGGCGAAGGCGGGUUGCUGGGCCGACACUGACGCUGAGGCGCGAAAGCUAGGGGAGCGAAUGGGAUUAGAUACCCCAGUAGUC